UUGAACGCUGGCGGCAGGCCUAACACAUGCAAGUCGAGCGGAUGAAGGGAGCUUGCUCCUGGAUUCAGCGGCGGACGGGUGAGUAAUGCCUAGGAAUCUGCCUGGUAGUGGGGGAUAACGUCCGGAAACGGGCGCUAAUACCGCAUACGUCCUGAGGGAGAAAGUGGGGGAUCUUCGGACCUCACGCUAUCAGAUGAGCCUAGGUCGGAUUAGCUAGUUGGUGGGGUAAAGGCCUACCAAGGCGACGAUCCGUAACUGGUCUGAGAGGAUGAUCAGUCACACUGGAACUGAGACACGGUCCAGACUCCUACGGGAGGCAGCAGUGGGGAAUAUUGGACAAUGGGCGAAAGCCUGAUCCAGCCAUGCCGCGUGUGUGAAGAAGGUCCUCGGAUUGUAAAGCACUUUAAGUUGGGAGGAAGGGCAGUAAGUUAAUACCUUGCUGUUUUUACGUUACCAACAGAAUAAGCACCGGCUAACUUCGUG
rnacentral:rRNA from 1 species